GUUGCAAACGGAGGAAGGUGGGGAUGACGUCAAAUCAUCAUGCCCUUAUGUUCUGGGCUACACACGUGCUACAAUGGCCGGUACAGACGGACGCAAAGCCGCGAGGUGGAGCAAAUCCUAAAAAGACCGGUCUCAGUUCGGAUUGCAGGCUGCAACUCGACUGCGUGAAGUCGGAAUCGCUAGUAAUCGUGAAUCAGAAUGUCACGGUGAAUACGUUCCCGGGCCUU
rnacentral:rRNA from 1 species